UGAUAAUAUGGUGAAUGGUUA
rnacentral:siRNA from 1 species